UACAUGGGGUGCAAACGUUGCUCGGAAUUAUUGGGCGUAAAGCGCGCGUAGGCGGUUACCUAAGUCGGAUGUGAAAGCCCUCGGCUUAACUGAGGAAGUGCACCCGAAACUGGGUAGCUAGAGUACGAAAGAGGGUCGCGGAAUUCCCGGUGUAGAGGUGAAAUUCGUAGAUAUUCGGAGGAACACCAGUGGCGAAGGCGGCUCACUGGUCCGGUACUGACGCUGAGGUGCGAAAGCGUGGGGAGCAAACAGG
rnacentral:rRNA from 1 species